rnacentral:sRNA from 1 species
GUUGGGGAGUUGGACUACAGACUUCUCACAUCACUGCAAGAAGAACCUGGACUGGCCGAGCCCACUGGUCAAAGAACUAUGAAAUACAUAAAGAAAACCAGAGGUCUAGUCUAUAGUUUCAAGACCUGUGUGUACAUGCCACGGACUGACUUCAUUUGGUAUCUGUCAUCACAGGAAGAGUAAGAGGAUGUGUGAAUUUUUCUAGGUCAAGAGGUAUGGAAACACUUAUAUGUAACAGGUAAGACACCAAUGACCAAAGAAAGUAUUUAAUCUAAGCCCUUCUUGGUCAAUCAGUGGAUUUCUUCGGAUUACCUUCAGGAGUGUAGGUGACACAUUACCUAUAGGAGAAUGGGUAACUUAAUGGUAGUUGCCUCUGUUACCACCAAAGUCUCACUUGACCACGGGAGGCCCCAUCCCAUCCAACCACUUUCUGUAUGCUCUAGACCCUUCCAUAAGACUGUAUGCAGCUGGAGAAGACUGUAUGUGUGUAGCUGAGAGGCUGGAAGGGCCAAGAAGGAGAAAUCUCAAGUGAGAGUCCUCCUUCCCUUUCUGUGGGGAACUGUAAUAGGUUUGGUCUUGUGAGCAUUUGCUCUGGGUCAAGCGGGACGUGUAAUGUCUGGAGAACAGAGUUGUACUCCAGGGGCCUGCUUUUCUAGACUCACGUUUAGCUGACAUGGCCUACAGGAUGAAUACUCAUGUAGUUUUUAUGGGGAAGCAGAAAUCCUCUGGGAGAUCAACGACCGACUGACCUUCAUUAUAGUCAGAAGUAAGCAAGAGCUUUCUAAGAUUCAGACUGUGCCUCUUUGGACGAAUGGCGGGGGACUGUUUAUUUCCCUUAGACAUUGCCUUUGGUGAUGAGCAUUGCUAUCUGAUUGGACCUAGGGGAUUCUUACUUCCUGUUUCAGAGGUUGAGAAUCCCAACUCUUGUUUUCCCAGCCUCCCCCAAAGAUAGGGUAGCCACGAAUCUGAUGAUGAGCUGUGGGAUGUAAGAGAAAGCCUGGUGGUUUGUGAGGCUUUCUGCUAGGUCAGUUAUAGGCAUGAGCAGGUACCGUGUCUCUCAAUUCUCUUCUUAUCUCUCUGAGGCUGACAGGAAGAUCACAUACAAGGAACUGCAGCAGCGACCUUGUGACCAUGAGAUGGGAAGCAUGCUGGAAAAAUCACAAACGAAUUGCAAACAUUUCAGACU